rnacentral:lncRNA from 1 species
GCCAUUUUCGAGUGAUGCCUGAUCUCAUCAAUCUAGCGGGAGAGACAGGAUAACCUGUCCGAGAGUAUAGCGCCACUAUGACUCCGCCGGAAAAAUUACUUUAAAAAUCGCCAAAAAUUACUUGGAGCAAAGGGCAGUCGGCGGAGCUUCGCCAAGGCUGGCGCAGUCGGUUUUGACCUGUAGCAGAGAACCAAUUCUGGAGAACAGCCUCACUUCUUUGAUUGAAUACUUACAUAAUGCAUUGGAACAUGACAUGAGAUUAAGUGUAUAAAGCCAAAUGUCCCAUUUAAAGUUUGACAUUUGCAAUAGCAUUCUAUUUAAAAGGUUUAAUAAUGAUAGAAUGAAGACCACAAUAAAAGAGACCUCUACUUAGCUCAGCAAUUCUUACCUUUCUUACCUAUUUGAUGAAGAUGUCUUUUGAAAGGUGUACUGCAAGGAACAAAAUGUUUGUAAAUUCUCCUUUUACCAAGGUGGAUAAUUACUGUACCUUCCUCAUGGAAAAAGUUUUAUUUAAAGUGUUAUUUCUCAUUGAAUACUAUCAAAAAGGAAAAAAAAAUGACCUAAACUUUUGAGAUAGAUUUGGCUCUAGUAAGUAUUUAGUUAUAUCACUUGCAUAUCUGGGAGAAGAAAUAAGAGACUAUCAUCAGUACAUUCCCAUCUACUAAAAAAAUUUAUUUUACACAUGUCAAGGGAUUACUUAUAACUUCCAUUUUAUUACUAAUAG